rnacentral:rRNA from 1 species
CCGGGGAUUAGUGGCGAACGGGUGAGUAACACGUGGGCAAUCUGCCCUGCACUCUGGGACAAGCCCUGGAAACGGGGUCUAAUACCGGAUACGAGCCCCUGCCGCAUGGUGGGGGUUGGAAAGCUCCGGCGGUGCAGGAUGAGCCCGCGGCCUAUCAGCUUGUUGGUGAGGUAACGGCUCACCAAGGCGACGACGGGUAGCCGGCCUGAGAGGGCGACCGGCCACACUGGGACUGAGACACGGCCCAGACUCCUACGGGAGGCAGCAGUGGGGAAUAUUGCACAAUGGGCGCAAGCCUGAUGCAGCGACGCCGCGUGAGGGAUGACGGCCUUCGGGUUGUAAACCUCUUUCAGCAGGGAAGAAGCGCAAGUGACGGUACCUGCAGAAGAAGCGCCGGCUAACUACGUGCCAGCAGCCGCGGUAAUACGUAGGGCGCAAGCGUUGUCCGGAAUUAUUGGGCGUAAAGAGCUCGUAGGCGGCUUGUCGCGUCGGUUGUGAAAGCCCGGGGCUUAACCCCGGGUCUGCAGUCGAUACGGGCAGGCUAGAGUUCGGUAGGGGAGAUCGG